UACGAAGGGGGCUAGGCGUUGCUCGGAAUCACUGGGCGUAAAGGGCGCGUAGGCGGCCAGCGCAAGUCAGUUGUGAAAUCUCCGGGACUUGAACUCGGAAAGGUCGAACUGAUACUGCGCGGCUAGAGUGCGGAAGGGGCAAGCUGGAAUUCGUCGGUGGUAGCGAUGGAAUGACGUAGAUAUCGAGAGGAACACCUGCGGCGAAGGCGGGUUGCUGGGCCGACACUGACGCUGAUGCGCGAAAGCCAGGGGAGCGAACGGG
rnacentral:rRNA from 1 species